rnacentral:rRNA from 1 species
CUACGGGAGGCAGCAGUGGGGAAUAUUGCACAAUGGGCGCAAGCCUGAUGCAGCCAUGCCGCGUGUAUGAAGAAGGCCUUCGGGUUGUAAAGUACUUUCAGCGGGGAGGAAGGGAGUAAAGUUAAUACCUUUGCUCAUUGACGUUACCCGCAGAAGAAGCACCGGCUAACUCCGUGCCAGCAGCCGCGGUAAUACGGAGGGUGCAAGCGUUAAUCGGAAUUACUGGGCGUAAAGCGCACGCAGGCGGUUUGUUAAGUCAGAUGUGAAAUCCCCGGGCUCAACCUGGGAACUGCAUCUGAUGCUGGCAAGCUUGAGUCUCGUAGAGGGGGGUAGAAUUCCAGGUGUAGCGGUGAAAUGCGUAGAGAUCUGGAGGAAUACCGGUGGCGAAGGUGGCCCCCUGGACGAAGACUGACGCUCAGGUGCGAAAGCGUGGGGAGCAAACAGGAUUAGAUACCCGUGUAGUC